rnacentral:rRNA from 1 species
GACGAACGCUGGCGGCGUGCUUAAAACAUGCAAGUCGAACGGAACUUUUGUUCAGUGGCGAACGGCGGAGUAAUACAUAAGCAAUCUGCCCCGAAGACCGGGAUAGCCCCUCGAAAGAGGGAUUAAUACCGGAUGUGGUCCUCUCUUGGCAUCUUGAGAGGAGUAAAACGCGUAAGCGGCUUUGGGAGGAGCUUGUGGCCUAUCAGCUUGUUGGCGGGGUAACGGCCCACCAAGGCUUCGACGGGUAGCUGGUCUGAGAGGACGAUCAGCCCGACUGGGACUGAGACACGGCCCAGACUCCUACGGGAGGCAGCAGUUGGGAAUCUUGCACAAUGGGCGAAAGCCUGAUGCAGCGACGCCGCGUGGAGGACGAAGUCUCUCGGGAUGUAAACUCCUUUUGCCAGGAAAGAUAAUGACGGUACUGGUGAAUAAGCCCCGGCUAACUACGUGCCAGCAGCCG